rnacentral:rRNA from 1 species
CCUACGGGAGACAGCAGUGGGGAAUAUUGCACAAUGGGGGAAACCCUGAUGCAGCGACGCCGCGUGAGUGAAGAAGUAUUUCUGUAUGUAAAGCUCUAUCAGCAGGGAAGAAAUAAAGUCCUUCGGACUUUGGACGGUACCUGACUAAGAAGCACCGUCUAACUACGUGCCAGCAGCCGCGGUAAUACGUAGGGGGCAAGCGUUAUCCGAAUUUACUGGGGGUAAAGGGAGCGUAGACGGCAGCCCAAGUCUGGAGUGAAAUCCCAUGGCUUAACCAUGGACAUGCUGUGGAAACUGGGCGGCUGGAGGGCAGGAGAGGUAAGCGUAAUUCAUAGUGUAGCGGUGAAAUGCGGAGAUAUUAGGAGGAACUCCGAUUGCGAAGGCAGCAUACCGGCGCUCAACUGACGCUCAUGCACGAAAGUGUGGGUAUCGAACAGGAUUAGAUACCCCUGUAGUC